rnacentral:rRNA from 1 species
AUUGAACGCUGGCGGCAUGCCUUACACAUGCAAGUCGAACGGUAACAGUGCUUCUGGUUCUGACGAGUGGCGGACGGGUGAGUAAUACAUCGGAACGUACCCGACUGUGGCGGGUAACGAGGGGAGAGCUAUGCUAAUACAGACUACGAACUACGGAUGAGAGCAGGGGAGGUUCGGACCGCGCGCGGGCCAAGCGGCCAGUGGCUGUUUAGGUAGCUGGUGGGAGAAAAGCUUACCAACCCGACGAACUGUAGGUGGCCGGAGAGGGUGGUCCGCCACACUGGGACUGGGACAAGGCCCCAACUCCUACGGGAGGCAGCCGUGGGGAAUUUUGGACAAUGGGGGAAAGCCUGAUCCAAGCAUGCCGCGUGGAGGAUGAAGGCCUUCGGGUUGUAAAAUGCUUUUGUACGGAAAGAAAAGCCUCUUACUAAAAACCAGCGGUAAUGACGGUACCUAAAGAAUAAGCACCGGCUAACUACGUG